UUCGAAUAACCAAGAACUGAGAAAAUUCUGGAAACUUCCCUCUUUUCCCCAUUUCGGUCGGAACUCGGAACUUAGCAACGUUGUUGGCAUGUUUCAGUCUUCCGAUUCAAACACUUUUUCAGGAACGUGUUGUUGAUCAAAUUCUUUUUUACAGAUUACUGUAACUAUUUGUUUUCCUUAAAUUCUUGACUACUUUAUCAUAUUGAAGAUGUUUGAUUUUUUUUUUUUGGUGUAAAACAGAGUUCACGUUGAGCUUUUGCAGUCUGAUAUUAAGAUUUUGGUGUUUUGGGUGUCAGCAGUUCGUUUUCUCUUUUCAUGUUUUGUUUUGGAAUUGGAUAAAUGGAAAUUAAUUUCGCCAAGUAGGACAAGCAUGAACCUUUGUGAUUGGUUUCUAGAGAUAAUAGUAUUGGUUUUUGACAUUGUUGCUACUAAACUCUGUCUUUUCAUUGUUUGAUUUUUCUUUUUAUAGUUAUAAAUUGGAAUUGAAUUGCAACUUUUUUUUUUAAACAUUCCAAGUGCACUUUAAGCUCGUCAAGUUUAAAAAGUUGAAGAAUUCUUUUUUUUUUUUUAUAAGUUUCAAAUCAACCCUUAAACCCUUCUACCCUACUGCUCACCUGGCUGAUUUUCCUUAAUGCUUUUUUGCUAUGUUUUCUGAUUUUCAGCGAGGGCUGCUAGUUUCUUAAUAUUUAGCUGUUGCUUUACCCCCAGAAGAGCUCAAGAAUAUAAAUUCUACAUGCGUGGAACUACUGCAUUGUUGCCUUCAAAAUACAAAUUUAAAUAAAUCUCUCCUACGGAACUGUGGCUACUUCAACACCAAGGAAAUCGGAGAACAAUGAUCCUAAGGGAGGAGGGCCUUUCAGUAACGACCAGACUGAG